UAAGGAAUAUUGCUCAAUGGGAGAAAUCCUGAAGCAGCAACGCCGCGUGGAGGAUGAAGGGUCUAUGACUUGUAAACUCCUGUAAAGAAGGAAAAAAUUCCCAUUAGAUGGGAGAUGAUGGUACUUCUGGAGUAAGCCCCGGCUAACUACGUGCCAGCAGCCGCGGUAAUACGUAGGGGGCAAGCGUUGUCCGGAUUUACUGGGUGUAAAGGGUGCUCAGGCGGAUUUGUAAGUCAGAGGUGAAAUCUUACAGCUUAACUGUGAAACUGCCUUUGAUACUGCAAGCCUAGAGUAUGGAAGANAGUGAUGGAAUAUCUGGUGUAGCAGUGAAAUGCGUAGAUAUCAGAUAGAACACCAAUGGCGAAGGCAGUCACUUGGUCCAUUACUGACGCUAAAGCACGAAAGCGUGGGUAGCAAAC
rnacentral:rRNA from 1 species